UGGACAUCGGUCUCGGCCUCGUAUUUUUGUCACCCUGUUACCUCCUUCGAGCCGCAAUCUCUUAAGUCUCAGCCUGGCAUCCUCUCUUGUAAAAUGGGGCCAGUACCAGCCUCCUCUUAGCGCCACAGUGAGGGACCAAGUGUGGUCGUAAUUACACAACUUCUUUGUAAACUCUAGCACGGUAUACAAAUGUGAGGUGUUCGUAGUAUGUUUCCAGUCCUAACUGUAGAAAUUUGAUCACUUAAGUUACUGGGAAAGUGACACAGAGGCUUGUAGUGGGAUGAGGGUGGAGGAUGGGAUCCGAGCAGUCCACGCGCAUGAGCAACGGAACCCGGGUCUUUAUCGGGGCUGUCAGUGAGAAGAGAUGCUCGUUUCCUGCAGCUGUUACAGGACGACCUCUCUCGCAUCCACAGCCAGAUUGCAUGGUCCCCUGGUCCUCUGUGUAUCUGGACCUGGCACACUAAUGAAGGGAGAUAGACACUGGAGAGUCGGAGGUCAGCUCCGGUGGUACAGCUACACAGAACCAAUGCACACACAGUCCCGUCUGGGAAGACAGCUUUGCAGAGCAAGGGCCCGCUGAGCAGGCUUCCCUCCUGCAAGGGAAGAGUCGGCUACUGAUGUGUUAAGAUUCGAUUAACGCAGGAAAUAAACAUGUAAUAAAUAAUAACAGUGUAAU
rnacentral:lncRNA from 1 species